rnacentral:rRNA from 1 species
GGAGUUUGGGCCGUGUCUCAGUCCCAAUGUGGCCGUUCACCCUCUCAGGCCGGCUACUGAUCGUCGACUUGGUGAGCCGUUACCUCACCAACUAUCUAAUCAGACGCGGGUCCAUCUUACACCGAUAAAUCUUUUCACACUGCAUCAUGCGAUACCGUGCGCUUAUGCGGUAUUAGCAGUCGUUUCCAACUGUUGUCCCCCUGUGUAAGGCAGGUUACCCACGCGUUACUCACCCGUCCGCCACUAAGUCUUCCCUUCACUUCAGACGAAUCAUCAGAUCUGGGAGCUUCGUUCGACUUGCAUGUGUUAAGCACGCCGCCAGCGUUCAUC